GUAUGGAAUACAAGAUUUUGUGAAGAAAGUCAAUGCGUUGAAAUUUCAAAUUUCUCAGACUAGCAUCUCAAAAAUGCGAAAAACUGCAUGGAAAAAGAAAUAGAUGAAAGAUCAAAGAUGACCAAGGUUUCACUGACCAAAAACUAAUUUUAUCUCUCUUUCUGUGACUUCGAUGACACAUUUUAUUGGGUGCACUCUCAAGUAAAAAGAUGGAACCAACUGAAAAUGACGUGGCACAAUGAGCGCUCAAUGGUCUAUUGAUGCCCUUCAUCCAGAAUCAGAAUAAUGAUGAUUCAAGAAGCACCACUCUACGUGAUUCAUAUUCGGCCAAAUGUUUUGAACACAACAAGG